rnacentral:lncRNA from 1 species
AACUCACCCAGCGCAUCCGACUGCACGGACAAUGCUGAGGAGACCCCCCUGACUCAAAGGAAAUAGACUGCAGCACUGAUUGGAUGACUUUGGGUAAGUGGUGGGGUACCCAGGUAAAGAAUGGGAUUGGGAUAGACGCUCAAGUUAGGGGAGUUAGAGUCUCUCCUAAGGCAGAGUGGAUUAGAGGCCCCUCUUAAUAAAAGGCAAGGACGCUUGACUGACCUUGGGUUAGAGGCCCAACUUAGGAGGAUUAGAGUCCCUUCUAAGAUUUAGGGGGUUAGAGACCCCUCUCAGUAAAGUCCCUCUUGGCUAAGAAGAGGUUUGGCACCGUGGGAUGUUAACUGCUAUUGUCUUUGGAUUAAUCUGCCUUGCACUCUUUGCUGAUGGCUCCGGGCGACAGGGUUAGGCGUGUACAGGAUCGUGGGACAUGGGGAGCUUUUUCCUCCCCCAAAAGGGGAAACUUGAGAGCUGACGGGACUGCUGGAAAAAAAUCCCUUCACGACAGCAGCCGUAGCCGCCUGAACUUUUCAGUGUCACUGCAAUGGGUGGGUCUUUCUCUGGCCUCCCUGAUCAUUUUGCCUUCCCUGGGAAAGUAUUGCUUGUGGAAAAUAUUUCCUGGGAAAGUAUUGCCUGCGAAAGCAUUUCCAUAUAUAAUUUUUUUUUUUUUUUUGAGACGGAGUCUCGCUCUGUCGCCCAGGCUGGAGUGCAGUGGCGCUAUCUCUGCUCACUGCAAGCUCCACCUCCCGGGUUCAGGCCAUUCUCCUGCCUCAGCCUCCCGAGUAGCUGGGACUACAGGCGCUUGCAACCAUGCCCGGCUAAUUUUUUGUAUUUUUAGUAGAGACGGGGUUUCACCAUCUUAGCCAGGAUGGUCUCGAUCUCCUGACCUUGUGAUCUGCCCGCCUCGGCCUCCUGAAGUGCUGGGAUUACAGGCGUGAGCCACUGCGCCCGGCCCCUUUCUUAUCUUUUCUAUUACUCUAUUACUCAGGGCGACCAUCUUGCCCAGAGACCACAUGUUGAAACUCCAAGUCAGAGGUUGGAUUAAAGAUGACAGGGCCUAUCUGGGGGCAAAUUUAAGCCUUGCCAGUUUAAUAUUGGGUGCUAAGCAGAGUGGCUAAUGUGUAUGUUUCAUCACAUGUGUUUUGCUCUGGUCAGAAUGAAAAAAAGUAGUUUUCCUUUACAAUGAGGCUUGGCCCCCAGGGCGAUGGUGCCACAAGCCAGAUCACUGGGACCACUCAGAGAAAGGGAACACAGAAGCCUGGCAUGCCAGCAAAAAGGUAAGAAUUUGUUACCAGUCAGAUUUCUGACUUCUCCCUCUCUGUGCAAACGGUUGAAUGAAUGGUAAAAAUAAUAACAAUAAUAAAAAUAAUAAAUCAGUGUGUAUCUCCUCUGUAAAGUUUUGAUUAAUAUGAAAAAGAAUUCUAAGCUAGUCAAACUGGUGUAUUUUGUGCUGUGAAUUUGUUUUUCUGUAGGAUGAAACAUGGGCUUAGAACACCUGUGAGCCCACUUUUCAACAUGACCCAGCAAACUGGUCAGUAACAAACAGCUGCAGGUCCCUGAAACAAACAAACAGGAUGAAGUCUCCCCUUGUUUUAUGUCCUUGGGAGCCUGACCUUUUAACCAUGUGGCAGUACCUUCUCUUGGUCUCCACCUACUAGGGAAAAGGAAUUUUAGGGUUCAUGUCAUAGUCAGCUCUAAAAAUCAUAUAAAAUAGUUAAAAGCCUUUGCAAGCUCAAAAUUAACUACUCUAGGCUUCUGUGAAAGGAAGUAGGCACCGUCCCACACUGUAGCUCAGUAACUAAGGUUUCUGCACUUUCACAGUGGCAGUUUGGGUUUGAUACCCCACCUAGGAAGUAAGUCAUUUCUGGUUUAAUAUCUGCGUGACCUUGUCUAGUCUCUUCUCCUCCGCAGACUGUCUUAAAUUUUCCUUUCUCUAUGCACGUAGGAGAUAACCUUUGGUAAAGUUCAGAAGUUAGAAAUAUUGGCUUCUUGGCAUGGCUAAAGUUGGGUAAUAAGAGAUUUGAAAGGAUUUCUUUUUUAAAGAGCACUAUGGUUAAAAGUUAGCUUAAUUAAAAGUGGAUAGGCCAGGUGUGGUGGCUCACGCCUGUAAUCCCAACACUCUGGAAGGCCAAGGAGGGCAGAUCACCUGAGGUCAGGAAUUCGAGACCAGCCUGGCCAACAUGGUGAAACCCCGUCUCUACUAAAAAUACAAAAAAAUUAGCUGGGCGUGGUGGCGGGUGCCUAUAGCCCCAGCUACUCGGGAGGCUGAGGCAGGAGAAUGGCGUGAACCCGGGAGACGGAGCUUGCAGUGAGCUGAGAACGCGCCACUGCACUCCAGCCUGGGCAACAGAGCGAGACUCCAUCUCAAAAAAAAAAAAAAAAAAAUGCCUAUGUGGAAAAUAAUUAUUCUUGCUGCACUUUAUAUAAAUAAUCAGGCCAAGUAUAAUAAAGCAAAUCAAAUCAGUCUUACCCUAAUUUGUCUUUAGUAAAAAUGGGAAACUGGAGAGAGAAAUAUUAUAUUUCAAGAACUAUGGUAUACUUGUUAUUAAAUUCUAGUCUCAUUAGUUCUUUUUAAGUUUGUUUCUGCAAUUUAAGCUACCCUGCUUAUUCCUGUGAACCAACAUCUCUGACUGCUGCUCAGAAAAAAUAAGAGGGAUGGGUAAUGUAAAAAUCUGGAUCAAUAUUCCAAUUCUGGGCACAUUAUAAUCAGCUAACAACCCCAUGCCAGCUUAGUUCCAACAGUUGCUCAGUUCAUGAAAAGCCUUCUAAUUUAGUUUACUUAGAAUAACUUUACUUAUUUUGCUUUACUCUUGUGGAAUAUAUUGCUGUUAUACUCUUUGUGUAGGAAUACAGAACAAGCUUACUGAAUGUUUCCUUUUUUUUUUUUUUUUUUUUUGAUGGAGUCUCACUCUGUUGCUCAGGCUGGAGUGCAGUGGCGCGAUCUCGGCUCACUCUGCCUCCCGGGUUCAAGUGAUUCUCCUGCCUCAGCCUCCUGAGUAGCUGGGACUACAGGCGUGAGCCACCACGCCCCACUAAUGUUUUGUAUUUUUAGUAGAAACGGGGUUUCAUCAUGUUAACCAGGAUGGUCUUGAUCUCCUGACCUUGUGAUCCGCCCACCUCAGCCUCCCAAAGUGCUGGGAUUAUAGGUGUGAGCCACCGCACCCAGCCAGAAACUCCUGUUUUUAAAACUAUCAGAUCUGGUGAGACUCCUUCACUAUCAUAACAGCGCAGGAAAGACCCUGCCCCAUAAUUCAGUCACCCCCCACCGAUCCCUCCCAUGACAAAUGAGAGUUGUGAGAGUUACAAUUCAAGAUGAGAUUUGGGUGGGGACACAGCCAAACCAUAUCAUAUGGGGUCUCACUAUGUUUCCCAGGCUGUCUGUGAACUCCUAGGCUCAAGUGAUCCUUCGGCCUCAGCCUCCCAGGUAGCUGGGACUACAGGUGCACACCACCAUGCCCAGCUUGGAAAUCAAAUUUCAACAUGAGUUUUGGUGGAGACGAACUAUUUCCAAAUCUUAGUAUCUCCCUUACCUUAUUUGUAUAAGACGGGAUUCACAAAACACACAUAGAAGCACUUACAUUUGAUUUUUAAUAUAUGUAUUGCUAAGGUGAGCACUUACUUGAUUUUUCAGAAAUUAAAACCAGUAAUUAAUAAGGCUCACCCAUAAAUAAACAAGGAGAAGAAACCAAUCUUAAAGAAGAAUUGCAAAUAGUAUACAUAGAUACCAACAGCCCCCUUCAGACAGUGGAGCUUUGUGGUCUUCCCCUUGAGUUGGCUGGAUUUAGUGACUAAUUGUGGAAAAUGAAAACAGUAACUUGACAGGGGAAACCUGGCAGACAAGUACCUAACCAAGUGAUCAAGGUUAGCAUCACUUAAGUCAUCUUUUUUUUUUUUUUUUUUGAGAUGGAGUCUUGCUCUGUCUCCCAGGCUGGAGUGCAGUGGCGCAAUCUCAGCUCACUGCAACCUCCGCCUCCCAGGUUCAAGCCAUUCUCCUGCCUGAGCCUCUUGAGCAGCUGGGACUACAGUUGCACGCCACCACGCCCGGCUAAUUUUUGUAUUUUUAGUAGAGACGGGGUUUCACCAUGUUGGCCAGGAUGGUCUGGAUCUCUUGACCUUGUGAUCCACCCGCCUCGGCCUCCCAAAGUCCUGGGAUUACAGGGCGUAAGCCACCGUGCCUGGUCCAUUUUAGUCAUCUUGACAUCACGUAACACCUACUAUGAUGAUACAAGGAGGACACUUUGCCAAUCUGAUGUUCUUCCCCUUAACCCACAAUUCUAGACUAAUAAUGAAAAAAUACCAGACAAAUGCAAAUUAAGGGACAUUGCAUUAUGAGUACUCCAGAAGUAUGUAGAUCAUGAAAAACAAGAAAAGACAGAGCAGCUGUCACAGAUGGGAGAAAACUAAAGCGAUGAGAUGAUUAACUGAAAUGUGGUGUCCUGGACUGGAUCCUGCAACUGGAGGACAUUAGUGGAAAAAAACUGGUGAAAUCCAAAUACAGUGUGUAGUUCAGUUAGUAGUAGUAGUAGUAUACCAUGUUAAUUUCUUAGCUUUGACAAAUAUGUCAUAGGCUUAUGAAGUAUUAACAUGAGGUGGAGCUGCAUGAAGUUAUAUAGGAACUCUGUAAUAUCUUUGCUUCUUUACAGCUAAAAUUGUCAGAAAAUAAAAAGUUUAAAACAAAAAAAGCAAGGAGAGACUUCUGGCGUGACAGCAUAAGGAGCUCUGUGGGCCUAUUCCCCAACAAAACUGUUGAAAAUUAUUAAAAACAAAAAUGAAAACAAAAAAAGUCGUGUCUCUGGAGAUAGUCCUAAGGAUAUACAUCAAAUGAAAAAAUAUUUAUUCAAGAGAAUCUGUCCUUCUGUAAGAACUGCGAGAGUCUGUGGUAUUUGAACCAAGACUAUCUCUUUCCUUCAGCCCUCCCAGUUCAAUGAUAUGGAAACUGUACUCUACAGUGUUGCAGACAAGAACACAGGGCUCUCCCUCUCAGCUUCCAUACAGAGGGCUGUCUUCCCAGCAGGGUAGGAUGUCAGCAUUUCUUAUCUUGCCACCAGAAACUUGCUGAGGCUAAAUCCCUAGUGAGUGCAGCCCCAGAGGCAGGAGCUCCCUUCCUCCACCCAUCCAGUGUUGGUGAGAUGAAGGCCCUUCCUUGGGCAUCAUGAUGCUGAGCACUGGGGAUUCAUCACACUUGCCCCACUGAAAGUCUGUAGUAGUGUACCAUGACAGGGCAGCUGAAAAGACAUGAGACCACUGGCCACCCGCUACCACUGAGCACUCAACCCUCAAAGCAGGAUGUCAGAAGUGGGCCAUUGUUCCCACUCCCAGCUUUAGAACCCAGAUCCAGAGAUACUGCCUGAGGGGACAAGCAGAGAGCCUGGAAAGAAACAUGUGGAGGUACGCCAACCUGAGGUAGAACAAAUAUCAAACAGUUUGGGAACCCAAACAGCCUGAUUUUUUUUUUUUUUUUUUUUGAGACGGAGUUUUGCUCUGUCACCCAGGCUGGAGUGCAAUGGCGUGAUCUCGGCUCACUGCAACCUCUGCCUCCUAGGUUCAAGCUAUUCUCCUGCCUCAUCCCAAGUAGCUGGGAUUACAUUUUUGUAGUUUUUAGUAGAGACAGGGUUUCACCAUGUUGGCCAGGCUGGUCUCGAACUCCUGACCUCAUGUGAUCCACCCGCCUUGGCCUCCCAAAGUGCUGGGACUACAGGUGUGAGCCACCGUGUUCGGUCAAGCCUGAUAAAAAGCUUUGGAGCAAUUUAUGCCUCUGGGUAUUGUUGAAAGUGGUGUCAUUCUGUACUCUCUUCUCAAACCACAUCAGUGGUCUAUAGUGGAAGAAUCAAGAAUACCAGGCUCUCUGGUUAUGAAGGUAAUAUAUGGGUUCCAACCCUAAAAUUCAUCUGGAAUCUGCUGCUUCCUCUUCAUCUCAAGUCUCACUUCAUAGGGAAUCCUUUCAUAACUAGUGUUUGCUCCAGUCAGCUUCUCCUUUCAUUCCUUCUCCCUUCAUUCCUUUCAUUCCUUCUCCUUUCAUUCCUUGUAGCUUCUCCUUUCAUUCCCUGUAGAAUCUGUCUUGUUCUCAUGGAGUCAGGAGCAGAAAUACAUCUCAGGGCCAAAACCAUGACUUUCAGUCUUGAACUGGAAGUUUCCCCUGAAGCCAUAGGCUGGUUGCUGAGAGAAGAGAAAGGGAAAUGGCCUUAACAGCCAGGGGUGACCCCGCAGUCCUACAGUAACAGUCCUACAGUGGUGCCAGGAGACCAUGGGGAUUUCACAGCAUUAUUAUAAAAUCCACUCAACAUUCACUCUACAAAUACUUCUUAGAGAAGCUGAGGGAAGGCACUUUGCAAGAUGAUGUAAAAGAUACAGUGUUGAGCCAGUGCCACCUGGAUUGUAGACAUGUGGUCCAGGUAAUGAGUCUCAGCUUGUAUCAACCAUUCCCUUCUCAUAGAGGCCUCUCCAGAUCUCUUACUCUUUUUUUUUUCUUUUGAGAUGGGGUCUUCCUCUGUAACCCAGGCUGCAGUACUGUAGCAGGGUCAUAGCUCACUGCAGCCUCCACCUCCCAGGCUCAUGUGAUCCUCUCACCUCAGCCUCCUGAGUAACUGGGAUCACAAGCCCACACCAACACACCCAACUAAUUUUUUUUUUAUUUUUUGUAGAGAUGGGGUCUCACUGUGUUGCCCAGCUCCUCUCAAAACUCCUGGGCUCAAGUGCGGAUCUCUUAAUCUAAAGUAGCUCCUCCGGCCAGGUGUGGGGUCCUGUAAUCCCAACACUUGGAGAAGCCGAGGUAGGAGGAACACUUGAGCCCAGGAGUUCAAGACCAGCCUGGGCAACAUAGUGAGACCCCGUCUCUGUGAAAAAUUUAAAAAUUAGCCAGGCGUGGUGGUGGGUACCUAUAGUCCUGGCUACUCGGGAGGCUGAGGGAGGAGGAUCACUUGAGCCACGGCGGUUUAGGCUGCAGUGAGCCAUGAUUGUGCCACUGCAUUCCAGCCCGGGCAACAGAGUGAGAGAACCUGUUUGUUUAAAAAAUAAUAACAAUAAUAAAAAUUUUAAAGUAGUCCCUCACCCCAAUAUUACUCUGCUCUAUUUUUCUUUAGGACAUUCAUAACCAUUUGAAAAUAUAUUUUUAUAUAUUUACUAACUUUUAAUUAAUUAACUCAACAAGUACUUGACUAUCUUGUGAUAGGCUCUGCUCUAAACAGUGGAGAUACAGAGCUGGGCCUGGUGGGUUUGUUCCUGUAGUCCUAGCUACUCAGGACACUGAAACAGGAGGAUCGCUUGAGACCAGGAGUUUGAGACCAGCCUGGGCUAUCUAGCGAAACCCUGUUUCUAAACAAAAAAACAAAAAGUCACAAUGGAGACACAUACAUACCACACACACACACACACACACACACACACAAAAUAAUAAUAAUCCAAAACUCCUAAACAAUAUAGAAGGUUAGGAGUGUUGCGGAGAUAAGACAAACUAGAGCAGAUUAAGAAUCAGUGAGAGUGGGAUAAAGCCAGUUGUGCAAUACAGAGUGGUUGGGACAGGUCUAAUAGGACAGUUAGGCCGGGCGUGAGCCACUGUGCCUGGACUGAUUUAUGUUUUAAAAGGAUCACUCUGGGUAGUCUAUGGAAAUUGGAAUAUGGGAGGGGCAAGAGGGAGAAGUCCUGUUAGGGAGCUCUGGCUCUUUCCAGAUGUGCAAGGUGGAGGAUAACUUAAGCCAAUGUAGUGAGAGGGGAGGUGGUUUACCACAAAGUACAAUUAACAGUAGAUCAAGGAGAACAAUGAGUAAUUGAAUUGAUACAAAUAUAUGGAAAAGUAUGAAUGGCUUUAUGGGAUGGAUUGUUGUUUCUAAAUCUAUCCAUUCCCCACACGAGCUGCUCCAGUGGCUCAGCAUGUUCAUGAUGAUACUGCUGAUAUAUCUUAUAUAAAUGUUAUACUAAAUGUAGAUGCUCAGUAAAUAUGAUUGUUUUGCUGUAAGAGAUUCUAGGCUAGGGCCAGGGCUUUGGUUAUACACGAAAGUGUGAACUCAUCAGGCUUCAGUUGCUCAGAUGCUAUACAUUCUAAAGAAAGAAAUGGCCCUUGAUCAGCUCCAGGAAGACAAUCUCUGAGUUUCUGGAAUAUUUUGCCUGGUAAAAGUAAUUUUUAAGCCUGAGUCCAUAGGCCUUCAUGUAUCGAUUUGAUGAGAUAAUUUAUUCUAAGAACAUUGUUACUGAAAAGGGGUCCCAAUCCAGACCUCAAGAGGGUUCUUGGAUCUUCCACAAAAAAGAAUUCGGGGUGAGUCCAUAAUGAAAGCAAGUUUAUUAAGAAAGUAAAGGGGCCAGGCGCGGUGGCUCACGCCUGUAAUCCUAGCACUUUGGGAGGCCGAGGAGGGUGGAUCACCUGAGGUCAGGAGUUUGAGACCAGCCAGGCCAUCAUGGCAAAACCCCAUCUCUACUAAAAACACAAAAAUUAGCCGGGCGUGGUGGCACAUGCCUGUAAUCCCAGCCACUCGAGAGGCUGAGGCAGGAGAAUCGCUUGAACCCGGGAAGCAGAGGUUGCAGUGAGCCAAGAUCAUGCCAUUACACUCCAGCCUGGGCAACAGAGCAAGACUCCGUCUCAAAAAAAAAAAAAAAAAAAAGGAAUACAAAAUGGCUACUCCAUAGGCAGAGCAGUAGUUUGGGCUGCUGGACUAAGGCUACUUAUAGUUAUUUAUUGAUUAUAUGCUAAAGGAGGGUUGGAUUAUUCACGAGUUUCCCAGGAAAGGGGUGAGCAGUUCUCAGAACUGAGGGUUCCUCUCCUUUUUAGACCAUAUAGGGUAACUUCCUGACAUUGCCAUGGCAUUUGUAAACUGUCAUGGUGCUGCUGAGAGUGACUUUUUGCAUGCUAAUGCAUAAUUGGGAUAUAAUGGGCAGUGAGGAUGACCUUGGUUUUGGCCGUCUUGGUUUUGGUGGGUUUUGGCCGUCUUGGUUUUGGCCGUCUUGGUUUUGGUGGGUUUUGGCCGUCUUGGUUUUGGCCGUCUUGGUUUUGGUGGGUUUUGGCCGUCUUGGUUUUGGCCGUCUUGGUUUUGGUGGGUUUUGGCCGUCUUGGUUUUGGCCAGCUUCUUUACCACAAGCUGUUUUAUCAGCAGGGUUUUUGUGAGCAGUGUCUUGCACCAAACUCCUGUCUCCUCCUGUGACUUAGAAUGCCUAACUUCCUGGGAAUGCAGCACAGGUCUCAGCCUCAUUUUGCCCAGCCCCUAUUCAAGACGGAUUUGCUGUGGUUCAAAUGCUUCUGACAAUAUUCCUCAUGGUGAAUGCUGGAUUUUGCAUGCCCGAGGCCCUGGGCCACACUGUAUGUUUGCUUUUUGCAAGGGCUGUAUGGCUAUGACUAGUUAUGUGGACCCUGCAUUCCUAUGUAAAUGACCCUCCAUAAAAACCCCAGAAAUGAAUGCUUGAGUGAACUUCCCUGGCUUGUAUUAUAAUACUGUGAACAUCUUGUCACACAUCUUUGCUGGGGGAAUUAAGUGUGUCCCUAUGUGACCGUAAUGGGAGAUAACACCCAGAGUUUUGUGCCUGCUUUCAUGUGGACUUCAUUCUAUGUGAUUUUUCCCUUUGGUGAUCCUGGUCUAUAUCCUUUUAUUGUAAUAAACUAUAACCAUAACAGCUUUUCUGAGUCUUGUGUGUACUUCUAGCAAAUCAUGAAGCCUGAGGUAAGUAACCUAAAAUAUCAAGAUGAUUAAGGCCAUUCAUCCACGUAUCCAUUUAGCAGAUAUCUGAAUAUCUACUACUGACUAGGAACUAUGUGCAUGGAACAAUUAGGAUAAAAUCCAUAUUAACAUCUGUGCUCUUUUGAAGCUGGAAAUCUAGUUGGUGAGACAGUCAGGAG